CGGGACGCCAGAGGCUCGGAAUGUGCGGGUAAAACUUCGCGGAGCCCGAGCUAUCAGGUUGCUCUAAAUUUGGACUAUGGAUUCGGAGAACUCUGAUCACAUCACUGAGGAGGAGGAGGAGGAGGCUGCCCCAGACAAAGGUAAACAAUUCAGGACGCGAUUGCCUGAGAAGCUGGAUGCCUCCGGAGCGCAUGGAAUGAUGGGAUAGAAGAUUUGAAACAAAAGAAGGGCCCUUGGGUUCCUGUCUUCCUGGAGGAUGCCUGGAUGGUUGUGCUGCAGCUGUGUGCAUUUCCCAGCGGAAGGUAACAACCACAUGGAUUGGAGAAGGAAGGCCUGGGCUUGGCGGUUUCACACUGUGUUGAAGGAGAUCCAAACUACAAAUAAGCAAACGCACAAAUUAUUGCGCAGGCAUGCUCACUCCCCAUGUUGACAGGAAGUGGAAGCUGUACACCUGAUAUUCAUCCAAAGUGAAAUGAACUACAAAUGGAUCAAGGGGAACAAUGUAACCACCCCAGUCCUGUUUUUCUCA